rnacentral:rRNA from 1 species
AUUGAACGCUGGCGGCAGGCCUAACACAUGCAAGUCGAGCGCGCGGUGGACGGGGGAGUAAUGUAUGGGGACUGCCCGAUAGAGGGGGAUAAAUACUGGAAACGGUAGCUAAUACCGCAUACUAUCGGAUAACCCAUAUGGGAUUAGCUCGUAGGGGGGGUAAUGGCUCACCUAGGCGACGCUCCCUGGCUGGUCUGAGAGGAUGAUCAGCCACACUGGAACGGAGAAACGGCCCAGACUCCUACGGAGGCAGCAGUGGGGAAUAUUGCACAAUGGGCGCAAGCCUGAUGCAGCCAUGCCGCGUGUAUGAAGAAGGCCCUAGGGUUGUAAAGUACUUUCAGUCGGGAGGCGUUACCGACAGAAGAAGCACCGGCUAACUCCGUGCCAGCAGCCGCGGUAAUAC